UACCAGCUCUCCGAGUGGUAGGGAUGUUUAUUGGGCUUAAAGCGUCCGUAGCCGGCUUAGCCAGUCUCCUGUCAAAUUCAGCGACCUAAUCGUUGACUCGCGGGAGAUACUACUAAGCUAGGAGGCGGGAGAGGUCGACGGUACUUCUGGGGUAGGGGUGAAAUCCUAUAAUCCCGGGAGGACCACCAGUGGCGAAGGCUGUUGACUAGAACGCGCUCGACGGUGAGGGACGAAAGCUGGGGGAGCGAACCGGAUUAGAUACCCGGGUAGUCCCAGCUGUAAACGAUGCGGGCUAGGUGUUGGGGUGGCUACGUGCCACUUCAGUGCCGCAGGGAAGCCAUUAAGCCCGCCGCCUGGGGAGUACGGCCGCAAGGCUGAAACUUAAAGGAAUUGGCGGGGGAGCGCCACAAGGCGUGAAGCUUGCGGUUC
rnacentral:rRNA from 1 species